AGCGAACGCUGGCGGCAGGCCUAACACAUGCAAGUCGAACGAACUCUUCGGAGUUAGUGGCGGACGGGUGAGUAACACGUGGGAACGUGCCUUUAGGUUCGGAAUAACUCAGGGAAACUUGUGCUAAUACCGAAUGUGCCCCUCGGGGGAAAGAUUUAUCGCCUUUAGAGCGGCCCGCGUCUGAUUAGCUAGUUGGUGAGGUAAAGGCUCACCAAGGCUACGAUCAGUAGCUGGUCUGAGAGGAUGACCAGCCACAUUGGGACUGAGACACGGCCCAAACUCCUACGGGAGGCAGCAGUGGGGAAUCUUGCGCAAUGGGCGAAAGCCUGACGCAGCCAUGCCGCGUGGAUGAUGAAGGUCUUAGGAUUGUAAAAUCCUUUCACCGGUGAAGAUAAUGACUGUAGCCGGAGAAGAAGCCCCGGCUAACUUCGUG
rnacentral:rRNA from 1 species